GGAAUCUUCCACAAUGGACGAAAGUCUGAUGGAGCAACGCCGCGUGAGUGAAGAAGGGUUUCGGCUCGUAAAACUCUGUUGUUAAAGAAGAACAUAUCUGAGAGUAACUGUUCAGGUAUUGACGGUAUUUAACCAGAAAGCCNCGGCUAACUACGUGCCAG
rnacentral:rRNA from 1 species